CCUACGGGUGGCAGCAGUGAGGAAUAUUGGUCAAUGGCCGCAGGGCUGAACCAGCCAAGUCGCGUGAGGGAUGACGGUCCUAUGGAUUGUACACCUCUUUUGUCAGGGAGCAAAGGGCGCCACGUGUGGCGCUUUGCGAGUACCUGAAGAAAAAGCAUCGGCUAACUCCGUGCCAGCAGCCGCGGUAAUACGGAGGAUGCGAGCGUUAUCCGGAUUUAUUGGGUUUAAAGGGUGCGCAGGCGGAAUGUCAAGUCAGCGGUAAAAUUUCGGGGCUCAACCCCGUCGUGCCGUUGAAACUGCAUCCCUUGAGUGCGCGAGAAGUAUGCGGAAUGCGUGGUGUAGCGGUGAAAUGCAUAGAUAUCACGCAGAACUCCGAUUGCGAAGGCAGCAUACCGGCGCGCAACUGACGCUCAUGCACGAAAGCGUGGGUAUCGAACAGGAUUAGAUACCCCUGUAGUC
rnacentral:rRNA from 1 species